rnacentral:rRNA from 1 species
UAGGGAAUCUUCCACAAUGGACGCAAGUCUGAUGGAGCAACGCCGCGUGAGUGAAGGAGGGUUUCGGCUCGUAAAGCUCUGUUGUUAAAGAAGAACGUGGGUAAGAGUAACUGUUUACCCAGUGACGGUAUUUAACCAGAAAGCCACGGCUAACUACGUGCCAG